CAGUCAGAUUUAGAACUACUGCCACUGACUGCACCGGAAGUCUAUUUAUAUAAUGGCGCCACAAAGAAAAUUUUUUUGAUGUGUUCUAAAAGUGUUCCGCUAAUUCAGCAAUCUAAUGAAUCUGUCUUAAUUUUUCUGAAAUCGUGCUUAAUUAUUAUUAGCUAAUCGGCGCUACACCGUUGUUCAAAUACUUAUAAUUGCAAGAAACCCCCGACUAGGACCAGCAGGUAAGAAUCUGUCUUGAUUUUAUAGUAAUACCCGGUUGCAAUUAUUGGCCGCCAUCUUUGAUUUUUAUAGACGUUCGGGCAAAAAGAGAAAUGUAUAUCCAGACAUGGACUAUAGCUAGAUACUAACUUUUGUGUUAGUUGUUUAGUUGAAAUGUAAUCUUAUUUCUGUAAAAGAAAAAAACAACAACAAACAAAUCAGCCUUUUUUUUAUAUCAAUGUCAUCAAUGUGUAGGCCUAAUAUUAGACUUUCAAUGAUUCAGAAGUUUCUCUACAGUUUCGUUAUUUUUUUUCCAGUCAUUGAUGUUAGCAUGUACUACACAAAGAAAAACAGGCAAAGCAUGAAGCCAAAGGAAAUGUUUUUACCAAGGCAUGUUCCUCAAUAGCGGAGAGAGUUUUAUCCAGUGUCGGUUCUGCAGAAGAACCCAUUCAUAGCAGACCACCCAUUGCAGCACUUGUAAGGUCGCUAUAAAGAACCCGACAGACUCUGCGACCAAAAGAUCCCACUGACGUGUCGUCAAGCCUUGACGAAGAUUUCAUCGAUCAAAGUGCACCGGGAUUUUAUCAAAAAAGAGUAAAAGUUGGGGAAAGGCGCCAUCACAUUUUUUGUACUGAUAGACAGAUGCAACUACUCGCACGCGCAAAAACUUGGUAUAUGGAUGCAACUUUUCAGGUGGUGAACAAGCCAUGGUCUCAGCUGUUUUCCAUCCACGCCUUCAUUAAGACUGGAGAGACCACCCGACAGUUACCAUUGGUGUUUUGUGUAAUGUCGGGUAAAAGCCAAGACGACUAUUAUAAGUUUCCAUAUUAGAUGCCAUAGCAAAUCAAAGAUCAUAUAAUAAAACAAGUCAAAAAACCCAAAUAUGGAAAAAGAAAGAACUGAAGAAAUGGUGAUUUGAGCACCUAUGCUUUCUCAUAGGUGUUUUUGGAGGUUCCCAUAUUAGAUGCCAUAGCAAAUCAAAGAUCAUAUAAUAAAAUAAGUCAAAAAACCCAAAUAUGAGAAAAGAAAGAGCUGAAGAAAUGGUGAUUUGAGCACCUAUGAUUUCUCAUAGGUGUUUUUGGAGGUUAACUACAUCAGAAAGAUCAAGACAGUUGGAAAUGGCUAUUCAUAUUAUGGAAACUUUUUCUCACAGAGCUUGAUAAUCAGGUAAAAUGCUGGAAGAUUAUUUGAUGUAUGAUAACAACAAGAGAUCCCAAGCAUCAAUUUAUUUUAUAAUUCUGGAAAAGAAUGCAUUUGACCCAAUUUUUGAAUAUUUUUUUUUGUUUUUACUGUUAAAUAUUCAUCCCAAACACAAUUAGAUUUUAAUUCUCUACAGAAAUUUAUGUAUAAUAUAGAAUGUAAAGUGACAUAUAAAUCACUUAGAAUUUGGUCGGAAAUCAUAAAGUAUUUAAUAGGCAUAGUCUAGAAACCAAAUGUAGAUCGAAUAUACCCAGAAUUACAAAAAACCUUGACCUACAUUAAGGUGACUUUCCCUUGCUUAUGAAAUGAAAUAGGGUUUAAUAUCCUACUUUUCUGUGUUAUUAUGGUGAUUCUGCCCUACAACCUACUCUUAUAUCAAAUAUUUCAACUGUCAAGGGUUGUUUAAAGGGAACCCAGGAGGGCCGAAUGGUUAACACACGCACAUUGGAUCAGAAGGGUCUGUCAUUGAGUCAGAUAAUUCAAUUGUCAAGGGUUCUUUAAAGUAAACGCAGUGGGGGUAGUUUCAAUUCUGGGCUUAUACCCAAUUAUCCCUUGCCAUGUCCUACACUACUGACGUGUGGGAACUAUGUCGGAAAAUCCAGUUGAAAUUUCUCGGCCAAUGCACUCACUGAACCACAGUGGCUCCUCCUUGCUUUUGACUUGAUAUUAUUUAUAUAUAUUUUGUACAUAUUAUUUAAUGUUUGCGAUUUUCUCUGAUAUUUUUUUAUUUUUCAAUCCUGUAAUCUUGAUGCUUUGCUCCUUUUAUGUACAAAAUAUUCAUUUUGUUUGUUGUUUUUUUUUUAAUGAGGAAAAGGUUCUACAUCAUUUUAUUACUCCUGCAAAAUAGUGCAUUUUUCUUUUGUUAGUUUUCUGUGUAUGCUAGUUAUUUCUAGAUGCCUCACAAAUCACUUGUAAUAUGACUUUGUAGCACUUUUCAGUUUCUGAAAGUAUUUCAAUUUAGUGCAUAAUUAAUCUAAUUAGGGCUUGGUUUGGAUGUUAUUAAAUUUAGAUAUAUUUGAAUUAUAUAUUGUUGGGGUAUGGGGUAGGGAUCUUUCUUUACUCAGUUCUUGUUUUCGGGUAAAGAAAAAAUUAAAUAGCUAUUUUGUAUUUUGUGAUGUGGGGGGAGGGGGGCAAAGUAUAACAAAAUUUUUAUUAGUAUUAGAAUUAUAUCUCUGUUUUUCUGUUAACAUUUCAAAUGAUGUCUAUUUAGUUUUGAUUUGGUGGUGUUAAUUUACUUUUUCCU